rnacentral:rRNA from 1 species
GACGAACGCUGGCGGCGUCUUAACACAUGCACGUCGAACGGAAAGGCCCUGCUUUUGUGGGGUGCUCGAGUGGCGAACGGGUGAGUAACACGUGAGUAACCUGCCCUUGACUUUGGGAUAACUUCAGGAAACUGGGGCUAAUACCGGAUAGGAGCUCCUGCUGCAUGGUGGGGGUUGGAAAGUUUCGGCGGUUGGGGAUGGACUCGCGGCUUAUCAGCUUGUUGGUGGGGUAGUGGCUUACCAAGGCUUUGACGGGUAGCCGGCCUGAGAGGGUGACCGGCCACAUUGGGACUGAGAUACGGCCCAGACUCCUACGGGAGGCAGCAGUGGGGAAUAUUGCACAAUGGGCGGAAGCCUGAUGCAGCAACGCCGCGUGCGGGAUGACGGCCUUCGGGUUGUAAACCGCUUUCGCCUGUGACGAAGCGUGAGUGACGGUAAUGGGUAAAGAAGCACCGGCUAACUACGUG